CCUACGGGAGGCAGCAGUGGGGAAUAUUGCACAAUGGGCGCAAGCCUGAUGCAGCCAUGCCGCGUGAGUGAAGAAGGCCCUAGGGUUGUAAAACUCUUUCACCGGUGAAGAUAAUGACGGUAGCCGGAGAAGAAGCCCCGGCUAACUCCGUGCCAGCAGCCGCGGUAAU
rnacentral:rRNA from 1 species